rnacentral:rRNA from 1 species
UACAGAGGAGCCAAGCGUUGUCCGGAUUGACUGGGCGUAAAGCGCACGCAGGCGGUCGCGCGCGUGGGGUGUGAAAUCUGGCCGCUUAACGGCCAGGCGCCAUCCCAUACGGCGCGACUGGAGGGCUGCAGAGGUCGAUGGAAUUGCCGGUGUAGUGGUGAAAUGCGCAGAUAUCAGGAGGAACACCAAUGGCGAAGGCAGCUCGCUGGAACGGUACUGACGCUGAGGCGCGAAAGCGUGGGGAGCGAACGGG